rnacentral:rRNA from 2 species
ACGGGAGGCAGCAGUGGGGGAUAUUGCGCAAUGGGGGAAACCCUGACGCAGCAACGCCGCGUGAUGGAAGAAGGCCUUCGGGUUGUAAACAUCUGUUGCAAGGGAAGAAACAAAUGACGGUACCUUGUGAGGAAGCCACGGCUAACUACGUGCCAGCAGCCGCGGUAAUACGUAGGUGGCGAGCGUUGUCCGGAUUUACUGGGUGUAAAGGGCGCGUAGGCGGGUGAGCAAGUCAGUCGUGAAAUACCGAGGCUUAACUUCGGGGCUGCGAUUGAAACUGUUCAUCUUGAGUGUCGGAGAGGAAAGCGGAAUUCCUAGUGUAGCGGUGAAAUGCGUAGAUAUUAGGAGGAACACCAGUGGCGAAGGCGGCUUUCUGGACGAUAACUGACGCUGAGGCGCGAAAGUGUGGGGAGCAAACAGGAUUAGAUACCCUGGUA